CUGGUGUUGAAUUCUGAUCUGCGAAUUGUAUUACGGAGUAUCCCCUGUGGUUGGGAGCACCUACUUAUGUAAACACAAAAUAGAGAGUUCAUCCCGAAC
rnacentral:ribozyme from 1 species